rnacentral:rRNA from 15 species
GCUUACGGCCAUACCACCCUGAACGCGCCCGAUCUCGUCCGAUCUCGGAAGCUAAGCAGGGUCGGGCCUGGUUAGUACUUGGAUGGGAGACCGCCUGGGAAUACCAGGUGCUGUNNNNN